GGCGGUUCCAAGAGGUUAUGGUCGGUUUUUGUAUGUGGUGGUUACCUCCAUCUUUUGCUACCCAUUAUCUCCAUAACUCAACCACCUAAAUGUCACAUUUAACCGUUUCAAGUAUUGAUUCUCUCUCACGUCUCUGAAUCUACGCUCCCCUAACUUCUCUCUUUGCCGGUUACCUAUUUUUCGCCAGUUUACAGCGGUUGUCUCUCCCCUAACUUCUCCCACCACGUUCGUCUACCACUGUGUAUAAAACUAUCAUCAGUCAUCCUCUCCAAUCCAUUAUACACCAUCCUCUCGAAUUCUCUGCUCCUCUCUCACCAAGAAAACCCAAAUCGACAAUCGAAUUUUCUCUGGCCGUCUCUCCCCCAACCAAAUCCAAAUCAACAAUCAAUUGUUGAUUUGCAUCCCUAACCCAAAAGGCAUAGGAGCAUCUAAUUGUUUACACCCAAAUUGGAAAAAUUAGGGUUCGCUUUGUUAAAUGUGAAGUGAGUCGCCAGCCACUCGUGUCCACCGUAACCUUCGUAAUUGGAGAGCUUUUAUUAUGUUCAAUCAGCAUCACAAUAUGUAUGUUCUGAUGCUCUCAAAUCAGAUUGUUGAACCCGUUGUUUACAAGUUUGCUCAGUUCGUCACCAUCUUCUCUGGCAGCCAUCAUCCGCCUCCUCCUGCCAAUUGUUGUGCUUCCUUGAUCAGCCAUGGAUACCCAAGGAAGGGACAUCACCUAUAAAGGGAAAGACCAUCGUCAACUCAAACAUCCCUAUUUGAAGUGGGUUUCUCUGCUUUAUAGUUUGACGAAUGAGUCAUAAACAUCAUUGCUUCACUGGAGGCAGAACUCAAGUUGGUUAGAAUGGAGGUUAAUCCUUCAGAGUCUUUAAACCGGAUCAUCGAUAAAGAGUAUAAGAGUAUGGCAUAACGGAUGUGCAGAAAAAACGAAUUAUUGAUGCCCUUCGGAGUGAUGCGAGAGCGGUUAAAGCGGAGGAUCAUGAAGAGUGGGUUGACGGGGAGUGGGAGUUCUUUUACGAUAAAUGCAUGGAGCUAAGACUUUUGUGACGAGGAUGUUUACGAAGAUGAUAGUGGCUCAGUCCAGUUUUUAUCGCAACUCGCAAAGACGGGUAAAUAUUUCGAUCCCAUAGUUGUGAAACCUCCUAAACGUUAAUUUUAUGUGUCUUUCGUUCCUGUUUAAUGGGUCUGUUUUUUGGGUUUUGGGUUUGUGUAUGUCUUUGUGUCGGUUGGUGUUGGGUGGUGCUCGUAAGUUGCUUUUAUUCGGAACUUUUUGUUUGAUUUUGUUUGGCCGAUGGUUGAUCUUUUUUGGCAGCAAAGCUGGUUGUGAUAAGCUGGGAAAAUUCUGGUUUGUUUCCAGGUUUUUUAAGAUUAUGUUGGCUGGUUGUGCUCUUGGCGUCCUGGCUUGGUGUCCGGAUUCGAGUGUCCGGGUUGGGUAUUUUGGUGUCCGGGUCUGCCCCUACCGAUCGUUCCAUUUGGUCAGUGACUUUGUUUUAUCAUUCCGGUCCUUUUGCUUAUGUCCGAGUCUGUGUUUUGGGAUUGGUUUCCUCUGAUUUUAUGUUUAAGUCUGAGUCUGUCCUAUUUUUCUGCGUUAGUCUGGGUCUGCUCCGAGUGUGCUGUUUGGCUCCGGCGUCAAGUCAUGAACUGGGUCUGUUCAGCGUACAUGCUUCGGGUUUAUCUCACUAGAUUUAUGCUUGGAAAAAGAACAAUUCUUUGGAUGGUUAUUUUUGUUGUUUUGAUUGGGUUUGUUUCGACUGCCCGGGUAUGUUGUAUGGAGCCGAGUGUUUGGUUUGGUAUGAUUUUGGUCUGAAUCCCGGGAAUGGGUCAGAGCUAUGGAGCACGGGGACACCAGUUUGCAUCGAGUACCUGUCCCGGGGACGACUCGGGGACGGAAACGCCUAGGGAACGGCUUGGGGACGUUUCCCAAAAGUACCCGGAUAUUGGGGACUUCUACAAAACCGUACCCGAUAUUGGGUACUUCCAAAAUAAAGUAUCGGAGACGUUUCCUAAAAUAUUUAGGGUUUUAACCCUUUGAUUUGAUUUUAUUUGACUUUGAUAAUUUUGAUAAUCAUUCCGUAUGCAAGAGAAUAUUUGGAUGCUUUUAUAACCAUUCUGUAUGCUCCUGUUUCUCAAUAUUUGAAUGCGAGAGAAUAUUUGGAUGUUUUGA